rnacentral:rRNA from 1 species
GUGGGGAAUCUUAGACAAUGGGGGAAACCCUGAUCUAGCCAUGCCGCGUGAGCGAUGAAGGCCUUAGGGUUGUAAAGCUCUUUCAGCUGGGAAGAUAAUGACGGUACCAGCAGAAGAAGCCCCGGCUAACUCCGUGCCAGCAGCCGCGGUAAUACGGAGGGGGCUAGCGUUGUUCGGAAUUACUGGGCGUAAAGCGCGCGUAGGCGGACCAGAAAGUUGGAGGUGAAAUCCCAGGGCUCAACCUUGGAACUGCCUUCAAAACUCCUGGUCUGGAGUUCGAGAGAGGUGAGUGGAAUUCCGAGUGUAGAGGUGAAAUUCGUAGAUAUUCGGAGGAACACCAGUGGCGAAGGCGGCUCACUGGCUCGAUACUGACGCUGAGGUGCGAAAGCGUGGGGAGCAAACAGGAUUAGAAACCCGUAGUCC